AUUGAACGCUGGCGGCAGGCUUAACACAUGCAAGUCGAGCGGGGUGAUGGUGCUUGCACUAUCACUUAGCGGCGGACGGGUGAGUAAUGCUUAGGAAUCUGCCUAUUAGUGGGGGACAACAUCUCGAAAGGGAUGCUAAUACCGCAUACGUCCUACGGGAGAAAGCAGGGGAUCACUUGUGACCUUGCGCUAAUAGAUGAGCCUAAGUCGGAUUAGCUAGUUGGUGGGGUAAAGGCCUAACAAGGCGACGGUCUAAAGCGGGUCUGAGAGGAUGAUCCGCCACACUGGGACUGAGACACGGCCCAGACUCCUACGGGAGGCAGCAGUGGGGAAUAUUGGACAAUGGGGGGAACCCUGAUCCAGCCAUGCCGCGUGUGUGAAGAAGGCCUUAUGGUUGUAAAGCACUUUAAGCGAGGAGGAGGCUCUUUUGGUUAAUACCCAAGAUGAGUGGACGUUACUCGCAGAAUAAGCACCGGCUAACUCUGUGCCAGCAGCCGCGGUAA
rnacentral:rRNA from 1 species